UACGGGGGGGGCAAGCGUUGUUCGGAAUUACUGGGCGUAAAGGGCUCGUAGGCGGCCAACUAAGUCGGAUGUGAAAUCCCCAGGCUCAACCUGGGAACUGCAUCCGAUACUGGUGGGCUUGAAUCCGGGAGAGGGAUGUGGAAUUCCAGGUGUAGCGGUGAAAUGCGUAGAUAUCUGGAGGAACACCGGUGGCGAAGGCGGCAUCCUGGACCGGUAUUGACGCUGAGGCGCGAAAGCUAGGGGAGCAAACGGG
rnacentral:rRNA from 1 species